rnacentral:sRNA from 1 species
ACAAAUAAAAUUGAAAUUUAACUGAACAGGAUUUACCAUUUCCUUACUUAAAUUGGAGUGUCUAUUUUAAUUCAUAUUUCAGAUUUCAAAAGAACAAGGCCUUGAAGUUCUACCAGAACAUGAUCCAAUACGUGACCAAAGUUGGUAUGUGAACAAAAAGCUCCGUCAAAGGCUGCUUGAAGAAUAUGGAGUCAGAACCUGUACUCUUAUUCAGUUCCUUGGUGAUGCUAUUGUUUUGCCAGCGGGAGCACUUCAUCAGGUUCAGAAUUUUCACAGCUGUAUUCAGGUAACUGAAGAUUUUGUGUCUCCAGAACAUCUUGUAGAGUCAUUUCAUUUAACACAGGAACUGAGACUUUUGAAGGAAGAAAUCAAUUAUGAUGAUAAACUACAGGUUAAAAAUAUUUUGUAUCAUGCAGUCAAAGAAAUGGUGAGAGCCUUGAAGAUACACGAGGAUGAAGUAGAGGAUAUGGAAGAAAAUUAAGUGUGAUCCAGUUUGAUAUUUUUAGGUUGCUGAACUGGGAUUACUUAACCUUGAAUGAUGAUAUGUAUGCACACUGACUUUAAGCUUCAUAAAACCAUCAGUGCCAAGAAAUUCUCUUUGUAGUAAUUACUUGUUACUGACACCACAGCAGUAUAGCAUAUGUCACAGCUCCUGUGAUUCAAUGUUAUAAAACAAGCAGAAUUUUAAAAGCAGCACUAUAUAGCUGUUUUGUAUUAUAGUGUAUAUGAUGUUUGUGAAAAUGCCAGAUUUAAAAUGAUGUAUUUAUUUUUGGUAAAAAAUAAAAAAUUCUAUGCUAUAUUGUUGAUCAAGUGUAAAUGUGACCUUGUACAGUUUACUAAAAUUACUGAUAUUUUUCACUACAUUGAGACAGUUACUGUGAGAAUAGGACACAAACACCAGCUAUUGCCUGCAUCUGGGAAAUUGCUGAAUCGCACAGCAGUCAUGUCAUAAUCAGAAAAUUACUGCCAAAUAAUUGUAAAAUUUGUAAAAUAUAAAGUAUAUAAAGUAGAUACUAAAUACAGACACUUCAAUAUUUUGUUGAAGCUAUUGACUGUACAAUUAAACAUUUUCAAAAGGUGUAAUUUAUUUAAAAUUGUCUCAUUUUGGUAAAAUUUAUGUGAACUUUUAAAGCUAAAUAUUAAACUUAAUAUGCUAUGUAAAUAUAUACAUAUAUACAUUUAAUGAUGUAUUUUUUUAAAACAUUGGCUUGCUUUUGUUAAAGUGCAAGUGUUACAUAUGGCUUUGUACAUUAAAGUUGAAAGGGGUUUUACAUUUUCCAUUAAAAGGACUUUAUCAAAAAUUGA